GACGAACGCUGGCGGCGUGCUUAACACAUGCAAGUCGAGCGGGAUCCAACCGGUGGCAACACCGGGGAAGAUCUAGCGGCGAACGGGUGAGUAACACGUGAGCAACCUGCCCCGAAGACUGGGAUAACACCGGGAAACCGGGUGCUAAUACCGGAUGUCGUCAUUAGGCCGCAUGACCUGAUGAUGAAAGGAUUCAUCGCUUCGGGA
rnacentral:rRNA from 1 species